AUGAUCCCAUUGCCCAGAACACCAAUGGGCAGUGGUGCAUGUCACCAGCAGCAAAACAUCUGCAUCAUCAUCAGGAAAAAAGAGGCAACAAACAUGAGCAAAACAUCUGACUCAACUCUCAGCCAGGUCUCAACAGCUUGCAGUUGCAGUGCUACUAACCUUCCUUCUCCAGCCCCGGCGAGGGCGUGGGCGCUUGGCGCGGGCCGAGGCGAGCGCGAGGACCUCCGGCCGCAGCAGCACGAGCGGGGACCAGAGGCCGCUCGUGUCGUAGUCGAAGCCGAACUCGCUGGCGUCCAUGAACUUGCCCAGCAGCUCCUCGGACACGUCCAUCGGCACCACCUGCACCACCGUGGCGCCGCCGUGUCCAGACGACGCCGCCGCCUCAGGAGCAGGAGGGGAGGGGCUCAGGAGGUCCAGGAGCGACGGCGGCGAUGUCGGCAUGUCGUGCUGAUCGAGACGGACGAAUGCAUGGGGGUGCAAGACGGACGGAUGUUUUUGGAUGGAUAG
rnacentral:rRNA from 1 species